rnacentral:rRNA from 1 species
GCCUGUGACCAUACCACCCUGAGAAUGUCUGAUCUCGGAAACUAAGCAGGGUCAGGCCUGGUUAGUACUUGCAUGGGAGACCGCCUGGGAAUACCGGGUGCUGUAGGCU